rnacentral:rRNA from 2 species
UUAAGCAUAUCAAUAGCGGAGGAAAAGAAACCAACAGGGAUUGCCCCAGUAAGGCGAGUGACGCGGCAACAGCUCAAAUUUGAAAUCUGGCCCCCGCCCCAGUUGUAAUUUGUAUAGGAAACUUCUGGUGCGGCGCCCCCCCAGUCUCCUGGAACGGAGCGCCAUAGAGGGUGAGAGCCCCGUAUGGUCGGAUGCCCAACCUGUGUGAAGCUCCUUCGACGAGUCGAGUAGUUUGGGAAUGCUGCUCUAAAUGGGAGGUAAAUUCCUUCUAAAGCUAAAUAUUGGCCAGAGACCCAUAGCGCACAAGUAGAGUGAUCGAAAGAUGAAAAGAACUUUGAAAAGAGGGUUAAACAGCCAGUGAAAUUGUUGAAAGGGAAACGCUUGUGACCCGACUUGAGGGCGGGGGAUCCUUCCGGGUUCUCACCGGUGCCCUCCGCCCCUUCCCAGGCCAGAUCCGGUUCCCCGGGGGGACAAAGGGUCCGGGAACCGUACUUCCCCCGGAAUGGUAUUGCCCGGGGCGCCAAGGCCCCGCGGGGACCCAGGACCCGCCCUUUGCCAGGAUGCUGGGGUUAAGGGUAUUAAGCACCCCGUUUGGAAACACGGCCCAGGGAGUCAAGUUUUUGCCGAGUGGUUGGGUGGUCAAACCCCCCCCCUUAAGGAAAGUGAAGGUAGGUAAAAGUUUCGCGGCAUCAUCGACCGUUCUUAAUGUUUUCGGAUGGAUUUGAGUAGGAGCGUUAAGCCUUGGACCCGAAAGAUGGUGAAUUAUGCUGGGAUAGGGUGAAGCCAGAGGAAACUUUGGUGGAGCCCCGCAGCGGUUCCCCCGGGCAACCCCCUGGUCAAUCUGAGCAUGGGGCAAAGACUAAUCGAACCAUCUA